UACAGAGGUCCCAAGCGUUGUUCGGAUUCACUGGGCGUAAAGGGUGCGUAGGCGGUCGGGUAAGUCUGAUGUGAAAUCUCACAGCUUAACUGUGAAACUGCAUUGGAUACUAUCCGGCUCGAGGAAUGGAGGGGAGACUGGAAUACUUGGUGUAGCAGUGAAAUGCGUAGAUAUCAAGUGGAACACCAGUGGCGAAGGCGAGUCUCUGGACAGUUCCUGACGCUGAGGCACGAAGGCCAGGGGAGCAAACGGG
rnacentral:rRNA from 1 species